UUCCAAAGCCAGUUGCACCAAACUCCUAGAGGCUGCUACUUGGAAGCAGAAUCUCAAGAUGGAGAAAGUGCAUUUAACACGUGUGGGACAAGGCAGACUGGCGGUGAGACAAAGAACUGCUUCACACCUUUGACCAGGUUGCAGUUUUCCCAUUGGCCGUCGGGUCUUUGAAUGCACCACCCCGCCACUAGGAGGCGGGGGAACGAUAAAAGCGUUCGGCGUUUGUGCUUCUUCGCUUUUCCACCGUGACUCACGUCGCGAAAGGAAGCACUCUAGUCCGGACUAGUAAACUAGAAAACCAGCAUCAUCUCGCUGGCCGAGUUUCGAGCUGGUACAAAGUAUAUUGGCCUGAUAUACAAAGGGGAUCCGAGGAAAUACUUUGUCGAAGUAUUCCUUCAUCUGCAGCGGGCUUAAUCAGCCUGGAUUUAAGAAAAGGACUGUUCUUUUUCUUGUUUGGUCGACCUGGAAUCCGUUUUUCGUUCUUUUGCUCCUGACGAAACGGAUUGUUAAGCUCUUGCCAAGAGACUUAACUGACAGACAACGCACAUGGAAGAUCAGAAUAU